GGGGUGCUCAAGUGGCGAACGGGUGAGUAACACGUGAGUAACCUGCCCUUGACUUUGGGAUAACUUCAGGAAACUGGGGCUAAUACCGGAUAGGAGCUCCUGCUGCAUGGUGGGGGUUGGAAAGUUUCGGCGGUUGGGGAUGGACUCGCGGCUUAUAAGCUUGUUGGUGGGGUAGUGGCUUACCAAGGCUUUGACGGGUAGCCGGCCUGAGAGGGUGACCGGCCACAUUGGGACUGAGAUACGGCCCAG
rnacentral:rRNA from 1 species